UAUUUCUCUCUUGUUGACGCUUCUUGUAUUUUGUGUUGCUUUCUCGAAUUCAAUUUCUAACAAAGUUGUUGAAGUAAAUGUCAUUUGCAAAGAAGUCUCAAAUCCUUGGUAUUUUUCAAAUCUUCUCAACUCAAAACCUGGAGGCACAAAAGAUGCAAGUCUUGUUUUUCUUGCAUAUUACAUAAUUGACGCACUUAGCGAAAAUCUGACCGACACAAAUAUGCUAAUAUCCAAAUUAAUCGAUGAAAUUGGUGAUAGUUUUACCGAAGUAAGCUAUUACUAUCGUUGUAAAGUAAAUCUUCUUAGUGUUGAUGGCAUCACUCCUAGGUUUGUAGUUGCAGAAAAAUAUUUGUCACUCAAACAUUAUAAAGCCAUGAUCAAAGAUAUAGGUGAUCUUAUGAAAACAAUUGUUGAAUAUAGAGAUAGUCUACAUCAACAUAAAACCAGUCCAUUAGUCACCCAAAAUGGUGAUGUUCUUCAACAAAGUGGUCAAAGUGCUUCAAAUUAUAUCAAAAUAUAUAAAUCUUGGAUAAUCAAAUAGUUAUAUAAUAUAUUAAUAAAAAAAUUUAAAAUAAAUUUGUUAUUAUCAUUUGUUAUUUGAUAAAUAUAUUAUUAGCCUUAAUAAUAACAUUUAAUUAUUUGGUAAUAUUUCUUUAUUUAGGUUCCGUUUUUCUGGCCUUGUAUAUAGUUUUCGUAUUAAUACCCUGGUAGGCUUUUCAUGUAAUAACUUUUGGAAUAAUGAAUUUCAUUUUUCAUUUUUGUUCUCUUUUGAGUCUUUCCCUCUCGUGCUAGAUGAAAUGAGCUUACAUGGUAUCAGGAGAAAAUAUCCCUCUGAUCCUGCAGUUUUUAAACAUGUGCUUCUCUCAUCAUGUUUUGGGCACCACCUAAUUUUUUCCCAUUGGUCCACCUAGAUUUCCUGUAGAAAUUUUCCUUUUCUCUUAUCUCUAUCUCCACGUGCUAGAUCCAGAUUAGAAUUUUUCAGAUUCUGCUUAUCCUUCCGUUUCUAUUCCCAACAUAAGAUCCAUCUCUUUUCCUUUCUGUAUUUUCUCUAUCUUACCUUUUUUCUCUCUGUUUUCCCUAUUUCCAUUGUUUCUUCCUUAUCUUCCUCAGUUUUUUCCUUCAUCACAACCCUAAUUUUCUUUCUCAUCAAGAACCAUCCACACCAAGAAACACCCCUUCGUUCAUAUUUUUCUUUCUCAAUGAUCUCACACUCCAUAUUCGUAAUCCUAAUUUCAUUUGUUCAUCUUCUUCUUCUUCAUUUCCUUUUCCUUAACCAUGUCGCAUGGUUGAUUUUGAUGAUUCAUGCUCUCCACGACCCACCAUAAACAACAAUAACUCCACUGCUUCCAACAAGAACACAAAUCAACAAAAUCCAAGAAAUUACCAAUAGGAUAUGCUUGAUCCAUACUACAUGAACCCGAGUGAUAAUCCGAGACUAUCCAUUGUCACCCCUCACCUGAAUAACUCCAAUUAUCACUCCUGGUCAAGAUCUGUGAUUGUUGCAUUACGAUCGAAAAACAAGCUUGGUUUUCUUGAUGAAUCCCUCCCAAGACCGCUUGAAACCGACCACCUUUCUCUGGCCUGAGAUCGAUGCAACACGAUGGUGAUGUUGUGGCUAACCAACUCCAUAGAAAAUGAUAUCUCUCAAAGCAUAUUAUGAUGGAGAUAUCUUAUGAAAUUUGGACAUACCUUCACGACCAUUACCACCAAGGAGAUGUGUUUCGUAUUUCCGACCUUCAAGAGGUAUUUUUUACCUUAAAACAAGGUGACCAAAUGAUUAUGGCAAGAAUUAGAGAACUUUCUCCCUUUUCCCACAUGUCCUUGUAACCCUAAAUGUUCUUAUGAUCUUUUACCCACCUUCAAUUCCUACCAUGAAUCUGAUCGUGUUAUUUGUUUUCUAAAAUGCCUUAGCAAUAUGCCCAUGUUUGAUCCUAAAUCAUGCUAAUGAACCCUCUUCCUCCUAUCAGUAAAACCUUUUCAUUGCUCACUCAACAGGAAAGACAAACUUUCGUCCCCUCCAAUAGUGACAACCCUAUUAUGGCCAACUUCUCCAAAACUAGUUGUUGAAAUCUUCCCAAUGAAUCCAACAACAAAUCUUUCAAUACUAGUUGUGGUCGUGGCAUGAAAGUUUGUAGCUACUGCAACGCAAUUGGGAAUACCAUUGAUAUUUGUUUCAAAAAAACAUGGUCUUCCUUUGUACCUCAAGAAAACUACCACUAGUUAAGCCAACAUGGUAGCUUAUAACUCUAAUUCUGGUCAAAUUGUGGACAAUGAAGAACAACCCUCAAAUACAUCAUUCAUUCCUUUCACCGAGGAGCAAUACAAAACCAUUCUACCGCUUCUUCAACAAUCAUCAAAUGUUAUUUGUCCUCAAAUUUAACAAUUUCAAAACAUCCUAAUAAAUCCAUCAAGUAUUCUUCCCACCCUUCCUUCUUAGAUAGCAAUCAGGUCUGGAUUCUUGACACCAGCACCACUGAUCAUGUAUGCCAUAAUCCAGCUUUGUUUAAAUCCUUAGCCACCAUUCAUAGAAUUACUGUUAAGCUCCCUAAUGGUUCUAACAUUACUACUAGCCAACUUGGCACCAUUCAUUUCACAAACACAUGUUAUCUUAAUGAUGUUCUGUAAAUCCCUGAAUUUUUCACUAAUCUCAUCUCCAUCCCUAGAUUAACCAAGUCUUUAAAUUCUAAGGUUACCUUUUAUUCCCAUUCUUGCAUUAUACAGGGGACCCUUACCUAGAGGAUGAUUAGGGAAGCUAAAGUCCACCAAGGUGUCUAUUAUUUGACCAAUCCUACUAAUUCUAACCCUUCUCCCCACUUUGAACCUAACCAUGUUAAUUCUUGUAAUCUUUGGCACUUACGCCUUUGACAUACCUCUAAAAUUGUUGCUUCUCAUAUAAAUAAAAUGUUUCCCUUACAAAAUUUCUCCAAAACUACACUACCUUGUGAUUCUUGCUUUACGGCUAGACAAAAAAAGGCUCCCUUUUAACAACAAUCAAUCUCAUUCUUCUAGUUGUUUUGACAUCAUUCACAUGGAUAUUUGGGGUCCCUAUUUUGUUCCCUAUAUGCUUGGUUUUAAAUAUUUUCUCACUAUUGUUGAUGAUCACACUAUGUAUUAUUGGACUUAUCUCAUGUGUCUAAAAUCAGAAACUUCUAACCAUUUUAAUUUUUUUCUGCCUCAUCCAAACUCAAUUCUAAACAACUAUUAAAACCAUAAGGACUGAUAACGACCCUAAAUUCUUUCCUAAAUAUUUUUUUGCAACCCAUGGCAUAAUGCAUCAAACUUUUUUUUUGAAGAACAUAACCAUAACUUUUCACCUCAUACCCAUCCUUUACCUCCUUAUAACAACACCCAUUACCUUACUUCACCAUAAAACAUCUAUUCUCUUACUUCACUACAAAACACACCUAACUAUAGCCUUCAUACCUCACCUUCCCAAAUUCAACCGGACCCUCUUCCAACAAGAAAAUCCAGUAGGAUAAUCAAACCUCACACAUACUUACAGGAUUAUCACUAUGCUCUCAUCAAAGGUAACACUCAUAUCCCUCACACUCCCUCCAUAGAAGAUUGUGCAGAGAUCAUGGAUCUGUUUCAAAUCAAGACCAAUGCCCAUGCUCUUUCACUACUAUUUUAGAGGAGUUCUAAACCUAAGAAAUCAUUGAAGCAAUGCAGUAUUUUGUUAUCAUUAGGGUUUUGUGUGCCUGCUUUGUGUGAGCCAUUCGAGUAUCACAUUAAUACUCUAAUUGGACCUGGUGUAUUAAGUUGUAACUAACAAUCUGUCAAAAUCUUUUAAGAAAGAGUGGAUUGUGUUUUUUAGUUGUUAGUUUUCGUGUCGUUGAGGGAAGUGAGAGAGGUCUCAUAUAUAGGUGUGUCCUAGAUAGAAACGUCCAUAACUAGAGAUUAAGUGAGAAGUCUGUAAAACCUGAUGUUGUUCAGGACUUCAAACUAAUUCUGUGGUGGUGCAUUUCCUUCCUGGCUUGGUAGCCCCCAGAUGUAGGUGACAUUGCACCGAACUGGAUUAAUAAAUGAUUUUGUUAUUUACUGUUA